rnacentral:rRNA from 1 species
AAACGUAGGAGGCAAGCGUUAUCCGGAUUUACUGGGCGUAAAGCGCGUGCAGGCGGCUUGUUAAGUCGGACGUGAAAUCUCCUGGCUCAACUGGGAGAGGCCGUUCGAAACUAGCAGGCUUGAGGGCGGUAGAGGGAAGUGGAAUUCCAGGUGUAGCGGUGAAAUGCGUAGAUAUCUGGAGGAACACCAGUGGCGAAAGCGGCUUCCUGGACCGAUCCUGACGCUAAGACGCGAAAGCUAGGGGAGCAAACGGGAUUAGAAACCCCGGUAGUCCUAGCUGUAAACGAUGUGGACUUGGUGUUGGUAGCUUAAACUCUAUCAGUGCCGAAGCUAACGCGAUAAGUCCACCGCCUGGGGACUACGAUCGCAAGAUUAAA